AUUGAACGCUGGCGGCAGGCUUAACACAUGCAAGUCGAGCGAGUGGCGGACGGGUGAGUAAUGUCUGGGAAACUGCCUGAUGGAGGGGGAUAACUACUGGAAACGGUAUCUAAUACCGCAUCCCAUCAGCUGUGCCCAGCUGGGAUUAGCUUGUAGGUGGGGUAAUGGCUCACCUAGGCGACGAUCCCUAGCUGGUCUGAGAGGAUGACCAGCCACACUGGAACUGAGACACGGUCCAGACUCCUACGGGAGGCAGCAGGGGGGAAUAUUGCACAAUGUGCGCAAGCCUGAUGCAGCCAUGCCGCGUGUGGGAAGAAGGCCUUCGGGUUGUAAAGCACUGUCAGCGGGGAGGCGUUACUCGCAGAAGAAGCACCGGCUAACUCCGUGCCAGCAGCCGCGGUAAUUC
rnacentral:rRNA from 1 species